rnacentral:rRNA from 1 species
AGGAUAGGCGAAGCGUGCGAUUGGAUUGCACGUCUAAGCAGUAAGGCUGAGUAUUAGGCAAAUCCGGUACUCGUUAAGGCUGAGCUGUGAUGGGGAGAAGACAUUGUGUCUUCGAGUCGUUGAUUUCACACUGCCGAGAAAAGCCUCUAGAUAGAAAAUAGGUGCCCGUACCGCAAACCGACACAGGUAGUCAAGAUGAGAAUUCUAAGGUGAGCGAGCGAACUCUCGUUAAGGAACUCGGCAAAAUGACCCCGUAACUUCGGGAGAAGGGGUGCUCUUUAGGGUUAACGCCCAGAAGAGCCGCAGUGAAUAGGCCCAAGCGACUGUUUAUCAAAAACACAGGUCUCUGCUAAACCGUAAGGUGAUGUAUAGGGGCUGACGCCUGCCCGGUGCUGGAAGGUUAAGAGGAGUGGUUAGCUUCUGCGAAGCUACGAAUCGAAGCCCCAGUAAACGGCGGCCGUAACUAUAACGGUCCUAAGGUAGCGAAAUUCCUUGUCGGGUAAGUUCCGACCCGCACGAAAGGCGUAACGAUUUGGGCACUGUCUCAACGAGAGACUCGGUGAAAUCAUAGUACCUGUGAAGAUGCAGGUUACCCGCGACAGGACGGAAAGACCCCGUGGAGCUUUACUGUAGCCUGAUAUUGAAAUUCGGCACAGCUUGUACAGGAUAGGUAGGAGCCUUUGAAACGUGAGCGCUAGCUUACGUGGAGGCGCUGGUGGGAUACUACCCUAGCUGUGUUGGCUUUCUAACCCGCACCACUUAUCGUGGUGGGAGACAGUGUCAGGCGGGCAGUUUGACUGGGGCGGUCGCCUCCUAAAAGGUAACGGAGGCGCUCAAAGGUUCCCUCAGAAUGGUUGGAAAUCAUUCAUAGAGUGUAAAGGCAUAAGGGAGCUUGACUGCGAGACCUACAAGUCGAGCAGGGUCGAAAGACGGACUUAGUGAUCCGGUGGUUCCGCAUGGAAGGGCCAUCGCUCAACGGAUAAAAGCUACCCCGGGGAUAACAGGCUUAUCUCCCCCAAGAGUUCACAUCGACGGGGAGGUUUGGCACCUCGAUGUCGGCUCAUCGCAUCCUGGGGCUGUAGUCGGUCCCAAGGGUUGGGCUGUUCGCCCAUUAAAGCGGUACGCGAGCUGGGUUCAGAACGUCGUGAGACAGUUCGGUCCCUAUCCGUCGUGGGCGUAGGAAAUUUGAGAGGAGCUGUCCUUAGUACGAGAGGACCGGGAUGGACAUACCUCUGGUGUACCAGUUGUCGUGCCAACGGCAUAGCUGGGUAGCUAUGUGUGGACGGGAUAAGUGCUGAAAGCAUCUAAGCAUGAAGCCCCCCUCAAGAUGAGAUUUCCCAACUUCGGUUAUAAGAUCCCUCAAAGAUGAUGAGG